rnacentral:rRNA from 4 species
UCCUUCCGUAGGUGAACCUGCGGAAGGAUCAUUAUCAAAACAGCGGACUUCGGUCCUUGCUGCACCCUUGUCUUUUGCGUACCGUAUGUUUCCUCGGCGGGCUUGCCUGCCGGUUGGACAUUAUCAAACCUUUUUGUAGUUGCAAUCAGCGUCAGAAAACAAACAAUAAUUACAACUUUCAACAACGGAUCUCUUGGUUCUGGCAUCGAUGAAGAACGCAGCGAAAUGCGAAAAGUAGUGUGAAUUGCAGAAUUCAGUGAAUCAUCGAAUCUUUGAACGCACAUUGCGCCCCUUGGUAUUCCAUGGGGCAUGCCUGUUCGAGCGUCAUUUUGUACCCUCAAGCACUGCUUGGUGUUGGGCGUUUGUCCUGCAAAGGACUCGCCUGAAAGCGAUUGGCGGCCAACGUACUGGUGGUAGAGCGCAGCACAAUUUGCGUCUCUCCCUUCUACGUCGGCGUCCAUGAAGCCUUUUUUCAACGUUUGACCUCGGAUCAGGUAGGGAUACCCGCUGAACUUAAGCAUAUCAAUAAGCGGAGGA